ACACCAGACACAGAGACCCUGAGAUCAUGACCUGAGACGAAGCCAAGAGUCAGAUACUUCACUGACUAAGCCACCCAGGUGCCCUUUGUGUAUGCGUAUUUUAAUAGAACUUCAUUAAAUUUAUUAAAUCUUUGCACUAGAACUGGUCCAAUAACAGAUGUGAAUCUAUGUGCAUGGUUUUAUUAUUCAUAUAGCAUUUAGAGUGCAGUAGUUGUGCACCCAACAAAUAUUCAUAAAUGCCUGCUGUGUGUCAAAACUGUACUAAAAAAUCUGCUGUCGUUUUUUGGAUUGUCUACCACCAACUACAUUAAACGGCCCUUUCAGAUGGGGACCCUAAGCAAAUAUUUCUUUGUACUCCUAAAGACUGAUAAUGUAACCUGCACUUAAGAGUUGCCCACUCGGGAUCCGUUCACUCCUCCUUCCUUUGUAACAGAAUCCUAGUUUUGUCCAGAGACCCAUCAGUAGAGCCAAGUAUUUCAGAGGAAAUUAUCGGAAUAGAUCUGAUUCCUCUGAAGGUAAUGCCAUUACCCUUACCAAGAUUGUGUCAGGUAUGAUGACCUAUUUCUGGCCAAUGAGGCAUGAGGGGAAGUCUGCUGCGAUGCUUUGGCAAGUUUCUUGCCUCCUCCAAGGGUGGUCCAGGCAAAGGUGGUCUCUUCCUCCAAGUAGUUAUGAUUCUGUGCUAUCUGGAACCGUAGCAAACAUCUUGCUACUUUUCUAAGGAUGAAGUUUCCACUGGGGACAGCAGAGAGGAGAAAUGGGAAAUACUUUGGUCCUUAAUUACUUUGUUGAGCUUCUAAUCAACCAAAGGCAACAUCUACUCUACCUCAGCACUUCUGAUUCAUUGUCAACACCAGUUUGAGUCUGUGUUUCUGUAUUUGCAGCCACUGCAUCCGGAUGGUUCAAGAUGUUGUUGACAAUGACUGGGAAAAAUAAAACGAUAGACUUGCCAUAUUCACAGAUGGUGCUACUGACCACAAGUGAUGUUUAUUUGUGGGGCUGGGAAUAAAAACAUCAAUGUAAGACUUACAGUCUUUACUCCACAGAGCUACCCUCUCUCUCCUAAGCCCCUAUAACCUCCACGUAUGCCUUUCAGAUGCAGGAAGGUCAGAAGAAGAGUUGGUGGUUUUACAGUUGUAUUCUACUGGAAACAGAUUCUGGGACCAGGAAAAUUCAUAAGAAAAUGAUGUAUCAGGGAGUGUUCCCAGGAAAAAGGACCAUGUAAGGGAGUGACAUGAAACAGAGGUGACUUGGGGAGGGCGCAGGUAAGGCUGGCUGUGGCCGAGAAGGUGUGGCUGGCGGUGGAAAGCACACCCAGAGUCAGUGCCCUCUGCUGGCAUCCGCGGAAGGGGAUCUCAAAAAAGGAGCAGCGUUAUGGAAGAAAAGAAGAGAUAGCUCUGAUUUUGCUGUUUUAUUUCCACAUGGAUACCAAACUCAUCACUCCCUGAAGAAGCAAAAGCAACCUGAAGAGGAUAAGGUGCAUUGUUCUCACAGUUGGGAGGCCUGGGCUUCAGCCCUGGUUUGGGCAGCAGCAUGACCCUGGGGGGACCCUGGAGGAGCCGAUCAGUCUCGGUGGCCCUCAGCUUCCCCUCAGGACCCCGCACAACCUCAGAGGCAACAAUGCCAAGUAAACAUUGGUUGGUUGACUAAAAAUGUGUUAUUUCAGCACUGUAGGAAUUUAGGUCGUGGCUAACCUCCAAGCUCCCUUCCUGCUGGGUCUUUAACAGGGAGACUUCCUCUCGGUUUCCAUGUUUCUGUUAUUCUUCUAGAGGAGUUUUCUUUUGUGUAUGUGAUUCAGCUCUUCAGAGGGCCCCGUGACAGUCAUAUGAGAUGUGUUUAAUUUUGUACAGUUUAAUUGCAUAUUAGCAACAGCGUUUACUAGAUGACUCUGCUCUUCCAAGGAAAAAUCAUUCAAGAUUUUUGUUCUUGGAGACUUAAAAGAGGAAAAUAUAAAUGCCUAUUUUCUUUGCUAGUAUCCAUGUUGUGAUAAAGAAAUAAUAAAAAGUGGCUUUUUCUCCAAAAUGUAUGAAUAAAUGACUUCUGGUUUCCAUUCUCAGGAUGAGAUUUAUGCUCUUAGACUUGACUCCAGUUCUGGGGUAUUCUACGAUAGGUUUACAACUGGAAUGAACAUCGUUGAUGCUGUCAGGUGCUAGUCUCUGUUAAACAUCUUGCACCCCAAACUCUCAAAGACUCUAAGCUGUAACAGUUGGUGCUGAGGGUGAUCCCAAAAAGCAGGCAAUAAAGUGAGGGUUCAGAAGUGGAUCCCACACCACCGGGCUGGCCGUGAGGACCCCACCCAUCACUGGUGGCUGCUAAUACCAGUGGCCAUUCAGCUGUUAUAUCUCUCACAGUGGGCGGGGUGGGGGAUGAUUUGGGCACGAGUACCAGGAGGAGCAAAUACACUUGUGGGUGCAACAGAUAAGUUAUUUGAGACUUGGAAGGAAAAGGUAGAGACAAAGGUAACGGGAUUGGGUGGCUAUUGCCAAGUCUCACUGACAGCUACACAAUGUUGAGGAGCCGCUGAGGUGAAAACCAAGUUUGAGAUGGAGGUGCGAAAGCCAGAAGGCUCAUGGAUAUUCGAAGAUGCUCCUUCAGUCCGGCAGCGUUGGGACAAGAGAAGUGUUGGACUUCUUCAGCUCAGAGAUUGGACUUCAUAAAAAAAUGAAGGCAGGGGCGCCUGGGUGGCUCAGUGGGUUGAAGCCUCUGCCUUCGGCUCAGGUCAUGAUUCCAGGGUCCUGGGAUCGAGCCCCAUAUCGGGCUCUCUGCUCAGCGGGGAGCCUGCUUCCUCCUCUCUCUGCCUGCCUCUCUCCCUACUUGUGAUCUCUGUCUGUCAAAUAAAUAAAUAAAAUCUUAAAAAAAAAAAAUGAAGGCAGGUCUGUGUCAAGAUCAAGGCCUAGGUUGGAAAAUCCUUUAAUCUGAACAGAUGGAAUGAGACGUUUUGGUGAACGUCUCCAAAGAUUUUUGACUUCUCAGAGUCUGGUCUUCCUAAGCCAUUGGCCACCGUAGGACUGGCAUGAUGGGCUCAUGAGUGGAGAGGCCACGGUGACAGAGACGGAGGCGUAGAAUAUUUCCAAGAACACAUAAAGGUGGUUUUCGCCUUGUACAGUAAAUGCGGGGUGGUAAAAAUGACCAUGCACCCAGGGGCAUCUCAAUGAUGCAGUCAGUUAAGUGUCCAGCUCUUGAAUUCGGCUAAGGUCGUGAUCUUGGGUCAUGAGAUCAAGCCCCGCAUCAUGCUCUGUGCUCAGCUCAAAGUCUGUUUGAGACUCUCUUUCCCUCUUCCCCUGCCCCCAGCCUGUGCACACAAUCUCUCUCUCUCUCUCAAAUAAAUAAGUUAAUCUUAAAAAAAAAAAAAACCCAUACACCCCAAAACCAUGCAAAGCAAAGUUAACAAUCAACGGGAAAAAUUAUGAUUGUACUCCAACUUUUAAAACUUCUGUCCCAGGGUGCCUGGGUGGCUCAGUGGGUUAAG